GGAGGGGCCGUACGGAGGAGCGAGUGGAAGCAGUUCAGAGUACUCCCGGGACGCCGUGAACACACACACGUGUUCCCUAAAGCACAGUUCCCACCUUGCAGCUGUGGUUUUUCUGUGGUCGUGUUUAUCACAGCUCCGUAAGUGAGGGUCCUUCUUAUUGAAAAUGUAAGUAGCUUCACCUUCUGGCCCGGCUCUAGGGAUCAGAAACGUUGCAGACACGGCUCAGAUCCCAAGUGGCUGCGGCUGUGGCUGUGGUGUAGGCCGGUGGAUGUAGCUCUGAUUCCACCCCUAGCCUGGGAACCUCCACAUGCCACGGGUGUGUCCCUAAAAAACCAAAAAACCCCCAAAAAACAAGAAAACAAAAAACCAACCAAACAAACAAAAAAAGAAGCAGUGGCUGGAAUGUGGCUGUCUGUACAGAACACAAAGCAAGGUGACCAGUUGCUUCCAAGACCUGACUGGGGAAGCCAGGAUCCUGCUCCGAGCUCUGGGGACACCAGCUGUCCUCUGUCCAGCAGCAGGGUCAUAACUCAGGCAGCCUUCCUGUGGCAGCAGGGAGCGGGCAGUUGUCAUGGGCGAACUUGGCGGUGGCGGGGGGGACCUUUCCGUCAGGUGUGCAGUUUUCCACCUGGCCACGUCCUCCCCUCCCUUCUGCCCUGACCAGGGGAGGGCUGCCCUGUGAUGCUGUGGGUUUUGAGCGAAGCAGAGCCUUCUGUUCAUUUCAUCUUUGGGGACUGGUGUUGGACUCUCUAUAUCAUUUUAUGAGUUUGCCGUAUUUCUAAGCUUUCUAGCAUGAAGUUUUUGCAUACUUUAAUAUGCUGCAUUUCCUCAUCCCCUGACUCAGUGGCUCGGUUCUUAGGAGCGUGUGGCUGGGAGCCACGUGGAGUGUUGUGAUCUGCGUCAUGUGUGCUUUGUCAGGCGUGCAAGGAACAGCUUUCGGGAGGAGAUGGGAGGUUUUGCUUUCAUGUGACAUCAUGGAACGGACAAGUGCUUUUUUGGCUCAUGCAGUGGGACAUGGGUUGGUGGUUAAACGAGGGCACCGUGGCUGGUCGUAACUUAACGGGCAGCCUGGCCAAAUAGUGAGCUGUUUGACACCCAGCCUGGCCUGGCCAGUCCCGUGAUGCCGGCCUGGACGGUCUUCCGGGGGUGGGGGAUGGGCUUCUCACAGCGGCCAGGGGCUGGAAGCAGGACACACCCUGACCACCUGGCCCAGCCUGAUGACCCCAUCUUUUCUCCUGUGGGGCCAUCCUGGGCUGUUGUCCACCAGCAGGCCGGUGCCUGGAAGCCCCCGGGAGAGGCUGGCCCUGGUUCUUCUCGGGACGAGUGAUGGAGACGUUCCAUUAGAGGCCCGGCUGUGUUUCCAUGUUCCCUGCAGACUGCCUUCUGCUGGUGGAGGUGACUGGCAGGACGCAGCACUAAACGGUCCUUUGCGCCUCCAAGGGCUGGUUGCUGGAGAGCCAGACAGUGUAACCAUAGGCUCUUGAGGCCUUCGACGCCUUUGCAGCUUUGGGGAGACGCUGUAUUUGCAUUGGCUUUGCCCGCUGUAGCAGACACUCUCUGGCCUGGACCGCACGAAGUCGCAUCUUGGAUAAGAGGAGGUUUUGAGAUGGCAGAGAUCAAGCGCUUGCUUUUAAGAUGGUCCAGUGAGAUUUGCCUGGUGAAUCUGAUCGCAGGUAGGAGUCUGUUAAGUUGUUGUGCGUACAGCAUCCGUUCAACCUGGAAAUCCUUAGCUGCAGACGUCUCUGGUAAAGCCAAGACAUUUUAGAGACACUUACAGACACUGAAUUAGACCAGUACGAUUAUUCAUCCAUUCACCUUGCUGCAGCUUCUCUGACACUGGUCAGCUCAAGGCACGGCCCAGGGAGAGCCUAGAGCAUCCUAAUGCAUAUUCCAAAACGGGAAACUCGCUCUGAAAAUCUGAAUUGAAUAAAGGUGAAAGCAGGUGGCUUUUGGGAACUGAGCCUGAAACACUGAAUCUCCGUGUGAAAAACUGAUGAGCACACCCUGCAGAAGGCUUUCUAUCGAUCCCACCUGUGUGUUAUGUUGAGGAAGCGUCCACUCCCACAGGUGAGAAGUUUGUGGUCACGGCAAAGCCAUGGGCUUUAAAGGGGCCUCCUGGCAGGGUCUCUAGAGGGUUGGUGGUUCCUGCACCUCCCUAGAUGUUUCUGGGUGAGGAGCCCCGUUAUCAGGAGGCUGUUCUGCUGCCACUGAAGUGGCAUCUUUUCUACCUUAAGUAGGUGAGAGAGGUUACCGUUUCUCAGAGGGAGUUAGGUUUUGUCUAAUUUUUAUAUUAUUUAAAAAGACACGUGGGAGUUCCCGUGUGGCACAGCUCCAUAUGCCACGGGGUGGCCAAAAAAGAAAAAAAAA
rnacentral:lncRNA from 9 species